rnacentral:lncRNA from 1 species
UUUGGGCUUAAAACAGAAACAUUUGGCCCAUCUAAGGUUCACCUAGGGCCCAAAAGGUCCAAACCACAAGCAAAGUUAAGUCAUUGCCCAUACCCUUACUUCAAAACUUCGUAACUUGCUCAAUUCUUAAUUGUUUUGGACAAACUUGUGUGUUCAUGUGUUUCUCAAGCAGACAGCUAUCACAUGGUUUUGGUUUGGGUUUCAUCCGAG